rnacentral:snoRNA from 10 species
CUGCACGGAGAACACCCAGGGACGCCAGUGUGGCACUCUCUGUCUCCCACUUCUGUGCUACAGUAGCCCUGCUCUGUACCUCUGCGUGAGGAGAGUGCCGUGCUCCAUACACGUAUUCAGCAGAUCAGUACACAC